CUAGCAUAGAGCACCAAGGAAACCACAAAAUAUGCAGGGAAUUCGGUCAUUUUGACAGAAAACCCUGCUCUUUUUCAGAAAAUAGCAACAUGCCAUUAAUCACUGUUUACUGUGUGGUCUUUGAAGAAAGGAAACUGAAAGUUCUGGAAAGUUCCCAUGAGCUGUCGUCAACUUUCUACUUUCACUUGCACUGAACAGGAUGAGGAUCUGUUGACAAAGUGAGGAGCCAAUGAUGUACGGGUGUCAGACUCUGCAGAGAAGAUGGAGCUGGAAGCAGUCCUGGUGCUUCGACCAACAGAGAAGACGUCACUCAGAGGAUGAGGAUCUACUGACAAAUUGAGGAGCCAAUGAUGUCCGGGCGUCAGACUCUGCAGAGAAGAUGGAGCUGGAAGACGUCCUGGUGUCUGAACCAGAUGGAGAAAAAGACGUCACUCAGGCUCCAAUGAAUCGACACAAUCACUUCAGCUCCUGCGAAUCAUUACAAAUCAUCUCAAGAAGUGCGCUAGUCCUAAUGCCAAGUUAAACUCUAGUUUAUUUACCAACGGAGCAGAAGUGCGCCGGAUAUUUAAUAAACUAAUAAACUUCCUAGCGCUGCAAUUAUUGAAUUAUGUAUGCUGCCGAGAGCAGGGAUCCUCUGUUUGCAUUCUGCUUUUCCAGUUGCUUUAUCAAAUAAGCCCGAGAGCGCUCCACCUGGUCCUGCUCGGAGAAUCGCUUCAUAGAGAAGAAAGGAGGCACAACCUCAAUGACAACUGAGAGAGAACGGGCCCAGAACCUCAAGAGACAUGGAGGAGGGGCAAGAUCAGGACUUCAGGACAGUGACUUUGCAGACAUCUAUCACAACUUCCUGAAGACCCCUAUAGAUGUUUUCUUAUCCAAAGUGAAAUUAUGUCUCCAGUUCCAAGACCUAUUAACAAUAAGAACCAGUUUAAUGCCCUAAAUAUAUAGAAAGGUAUAAACCAGCUCUCACCCUAUCUUUGGUAAACGUCUAAACGAACCGGCCACAAGCACUGGCCAGAAUCAGUGUCCAAAAUAAUUAAAGGAUAGUUCAGCAGCAAGAUUCUGGGAAAAAAGCUAUUGUGGUUGCCCAGUACCGUAUUGUAUACCGUACCUAGUGUAGAGGUCCCCAAAGUCAGAGUAACUACGUUCAGGUAGGGUCCCUCAGGUGGGACAACCCCUAGUCACCUCGCCUUAAGUCUAAUUCUUUAAUUCUAAUAUAUGUAUAUAUUUAAUAAUAAUGUAUAUCUAAUAUAAUGUAUAGUACUUACCUUGUUUAGCGUCGCAGGUCCUUGGGUCACGUGUUACCCACAAAUCUUUGUAAUGGUGAUUGACAUCAGUAUGGACCAAUUAGCACUAGUCCAGCCCCUGCCCAUAUAAGGGAGCUGUAGCCAAUUAUCGCUCUCUUGGGUUGCUGCUCUCGUGGAUGCCGGACUAGCAGGACGGAUCUGCGCAACUUUCAAAGACACGCUAGGCCUCAAAACCUACCAGCCUCAGUAGAACUAAAACCGUGAGUUCUAAUCUACCCCCGCUAAUGCUAACGUGACUUCUGGACCGCAACUAAUCCCCUCAAUCCAGUGGAACAGCGCCUGAUACUUAAAGACUCUAAAUUGCUAAAGUCCCAACCUUUGUCAAUCUCCAAAGAAGCAGUUGUUUGCAUAGAGACUGUUCAGUUUAUGAAGCUUGCAGAAAACCUUCAGUA